UUUUCUGGCAUUUUCAGUUGCUAAUUCGUUCUCGUCAGUCUCGAGCGCUCAUUUCUUACUGUUACGUAACCCUUUUCGUGUUACUUAUACAUUGUUACCUACCAGAAAAUUUUUAAAAUUAGUGAAAAACGCAAUCCGUUUUCCCCCCUUUCUUCAUUCUACUAAAUUGUUUUUAACAAGAAAUUAAGAAUGCUGUGUUUUAAACGUACGAUAACCGCAAAUCAACGUUUCUGUAGAAAUAUUUCUCUGAAAUCAACUGUAAGUGUUGAAGAGCUUCGAAAAUUCAAUGCAAUGGCAAAGGAAUGGUGGGACGUCGACGGACCAGUCAAGCCCUUACACUCGUUCAAUAAACUAAGAGUACCUUUUCUUGAACGUGGCAUUUAUUCUUGUCAAAAAUCAGUCGUGACAAACGCUACCCGCGCACUUCCUUUAGCCGGAUGCAAAAUAUUAGACGUCGGGUGCGGUGCGGGCAUUUUGAGCGAAAAUCUAGGUCGUUUAGGAGCAAGUGUUACAGGCAUCGAUCCGAGCGAAGAUAAUAUUCGAGUAGCUCUUCUACGCGCCCACAAAAUGAAGCUAAAAAAUGUGUCUUAUGCAGUCAAAACUGUUGAAGAUGUCGACCCAUCUAAUGCUCAUUCUCCAACUCUAUUUGAUGCCGUCGUCGCAUCGGAAGUUAUAGAGCAUGUGGAAAACCAGAAAUUUUUUGUCAAGAAAUGCAGUCAAUUGCUAAAGCCAGGAGGUUCUUUAUUUAUAACCACCCAAAAUAGGACUGCUGCUUCUUGGGCCUUCGUCAUCUUUGGAGCGGAAUACGUUUUUAAUAUUAUACCAAGAGGGACACAUGAAUGGACAAAGUUUCUCACUCCGGACGAGCUCAUUUUUGAAACAGAAAAAAAUGGUUGUCAACUGCGGCAGCUUCGUGGCUAUUUCUAUAAUCCCUUCAUUGACAGAUGGACUUGGUCUAAAUCCACUAGCGUCAAUUAUGCCUUACACGUACAAAAAUCCCAUCAUAGCAAGUGGUAAAUAAUUGAUGGAAAAUAUCAAAUUCACUAUAUAGCCUCGUUAUGGAGAUCUUAACAAAUGUUUAUGGAAAUUGACUCUUAGCACGAACACAUUCUAAGCAAAAAUCGGCAAAAAUUCAUGUUAGCGUGUCCGAUACUUUGACAACUACUUUGAUCAAAAAUGUAUAAAAAUUGUGAUUGGGAUAUUGGCAGAGUUCUACACAAAAUAUUAUAUUGCUUAAAUUAAUACAAUGGAGGGAAUGAAUAAAUUGAACAUGUAGCGUACAGCCCUUGAAAUACAAGCCACAACGUGUAUCAUUUA
rnacentral:misc_RNA from 1 species